UACGAAGGGGGCUAGCGUUGCUCGGAAUGACUGGGCGUAAAGGGCGCGUAGGCGGAUGGCACAGUCAGAUGUGAAAUUCCCGGGCUUAACCUGGGGGCUGCAUUUGAUACGUGUGAUCUAGAGUGAGGAAGAGGGUCGUGGAAUUCCCAGUGUAGAGGUGAAAUUCGUAGAUAUUGGGAAGAACACCGGUGGCGAAGGCGGCGACCUGGUCCUUUUACUGACGCUGAGGCGCGAAAGCAUGGGGAGCGAACAGG
rnacentral:rRNA from 1 species